CUCUUGAAGGCAGCCUGAGGGAUGAGCUAGCUGGGAACACAGACAUCUGCAGGAAGCCUGGGCUUGUGGUGAGUCAAAGGGAACUUGGAGAUGAAACACCUGGCUCAGCUCCUGACAGCUGUGUACAUUCUUUCCCCUCCGCGGAACCUUUGGUCCUUGCUGGACUGGCCUGGUAACUAACUUCAGGAUGAAGAGAGACCAGGUCCUGUGAGGCAGCUUUACAGAUGGUGAAAACUGCAACUCCAGAACCACAUGCCCUGUGUCUUCCAGACAGCAUCAGACAAACCCAGCCAUGCUUACCACUUCUGCUCAGGCCCACGAGGUGGAGGAGCUGGCCCGGAGGAAGAGGAGGGCUUUCUGGGACCAAGUUUUCCCAGAGAAGGAGGCAGUAGGAUUUCCAGGUGGGAGGGCUUGGAAGAAAGGCCUGAAUGAAGAACGACUGUGGAGGAAGGGGUCCCACACCCUGGCCCCUGCUCCCACCCUGCUGUUGUGGUUUGAGUCUAAUAAGUAGAUGUGGGAGACACUUGAGCAAGGCAGGGCAGAGUAAAAACCCUGUGUAGGAAGUAGGAAUUUUAGAGUCCUCUGUCUUAAUUUCUUAGGAAUCUAUCAUGUCUGCUUAUCCCUUCUGUUUGGUUUUUGUUAAAUUAACAAUCCAUAUUUAUAAUGUAUUGUCUGAACCUCGUAAAAAUCAUUGCAUUUACACAUGAUGUGUACUUCCACUAAACUUGCAAAGUUUUAUCCCCGAUAUUCCCUUCAUUUAAGGGUGAAUACUUGAUAGUGGAGGAUGUUGAAAACCAGGUAGGCAUUCUAGGUCAUGUACUGACCAAUUCAUCCAUCCAUCCAUCCAUCCAUCCAUCCAUCCAUCCAUCCAUCCAUCUAUCCAUCCAUCCGUUGUGAGCUGAGCUGUCUUUAUACACUUAUGUGUUGAAACCCUCUAGUACCUUAUAUAAUGUAACUGCAUUGGAGACCGUCUUUAAAGGGCUGUUUAAGUUAAAAUGGGGUUGUUAGAGUGAGUCCUGAUUUAACCUGACUGGCGACCUUACCAAAAGCGGGCAGAGACAAAUGUGCACAAAGCAAGAUCUGAAAGAGGGGCACAGCAACAAUAUAACCAUCUCCCAGCCAAGAAGAGAGGCCUCAGAAGAAACCAGAUCUUCUGACAUCUUCAGCUUUCAUUUUUUUUAUCUCCACAUCAUUCAAGCCAGUCUGUGGUGUAUGGUUUAGAGAAGCUUGGACAAAUAUAUAUGACAUUUAUCCACCCACUGAUCCAUCCACCCGCCCAUCCACCCACCUAUCCAUUAAUCCACCCAUCUACCCAUUCAUCUACAUAUCCAUCUGUCAGUCUGUCCAUCCAU